AUUGAACGCUGGCGGAAUGCUUUACACAUGCAAGUCGAACGAUGAACCUUAGCUUGCUAAGGGGAUUAGUGGCGAACGGGUGAGUAAUGUAUCGGAACGUAUCCAAUAAUGGGGGAUAACUAGUCGAAAGAUUAGCUAAUACCGCAUACGUCCUACGGGAGAAAGCUAGGGACCUUCGGGCCUGGCGUUAAUGGAGCGGCCGAUAUCUGAUUAGCUAGUUGGUGGGGUAAAGGCUAACCAAGGCGACGAUCAGUAGCUGGUCUGAGAGGACGACCAGCCACACGGGAACUGCGACACGGUCCAGACUCCUACGGGAGGCAGCAGUGGGGAAUUUUGGACAAUGGGCGAAAGCCUGAUCCAGCCAUUCCGCGUGAGUGAAGAAGGCCUUCGGGUUGUAAAGCUCUUUCGCAAGGGAAGAAAACUUAAGCUCUAACAUAGCUUGAGGUUGACGGUACCUUGAUAAGAAGCACCGGCUAACUACGUGCCAGCAGCCGCCGUAA
rnacentral:rRNA from 1 species